AGAAGCACAAAGCUAGUUUAAGAGUGUACUUCGAGCUGACUGUGGUAAAGACUGGCCCUGACACUCCAGAGCUCGCGGUCCAACACAAACACAGCGCAGGAAACACGACAGGCAGCGGCCGAGGAACGGCUUGUGGACGGCUGGUGAAAUAUAGACACGUUUAAAGAGCUCAGAGAAAGUUUGCUUGAUUUAUGACUACGAAAACAGUUCAGAAGAAAAAACGUCAUGCCGGUUUGGAGCAACAUGCGGGUUAGUAAAUGAUGAUGACACGUAAACGAUUCUAUUCCUUUAAACCUGAAAACGUGCCUAGUGCCACUUCACCUUUGACCUUGACCGAGAACGGUCAAUUUCACACUGUGGUGGCAAAAUCAGGACUGCGGGCAGAAGAGGGGUGACUGACUGCGAUCCGAUGCUCAGAUCCUGUCUGACACUCACUCCCACGCAAACACGCUCCUCCAAUGGCCAGCGUGUUGUGGAGGGGAGCGGAGAAAGGUUCUGACCUCCUGAGAGAACCAGAGAGACGCCUGACGCCAGACCCCAGACCGCGGAUAAUGGGGAACAGAUAAGAUGCGGCUGUGACACUGACCGUGUGUGGGGUAGCUGUAUAGUGCCUGACCGGGUGGCGUCCCGCCGAAGUUCGACGUGUAUCCCAGCAGACUGCUCUGACCUGGCGAAUGACUCAAACCGUCUUCUGUUUUA